GACGAACGCUGGCGGCGUGCCUAACACAUGCAAGUGGAGCGACGAACCAGGCUUCGGCCUGGGGCAAAGCCGCGAACGGGUGAGUAACACGUGGGUAACCUGCCCUGAUGAUUGGGACAACCCGAGGAAACUCGGGCUAAUACCAAAUGUGCCCUUCGGCCACAAGGCCGCUGGGGAAAGGAAGCUUCGGCCUCCGCAUCUGGAUGGGCCCGCGGCCCAUUAGCUUGUUGGUGAGGAACGGCUCACCAAGGCGACGAUGGGUAGGCUGGUCUGAGAGGACGAUCAGCCACACUGGGACGUGAGACACGGCCCAGACUCCUACGGGAGGCAGCAGUGGGGAAGUCUUGCGCAAUGCGCGAAAGCGUGACGCAGCAACGCCGCGUGGGGGAAGACG
rnacentral:rRNA from 1 species